GUGGGGAAUAUUGGACAAUGGGGGAAACCCUGAUCCAGCCACGCCGCGUGGGUGAUGAAGGCCUUCGGGUUGUAAAGCCCUGUCGGGAGGGACGAAGAAAUGACGGUACCUCCCAAGAAAGCACCGGCUAACUCCGUGCCAGCAGCCGCGGUAAUACGGAGGGUGCAAGCGUUGCUCGGAAUUACUGGGCGUAAAGCGUACGCAGGCGGCUUGGUAAGUCGGAUGUGAAAUCCCCAAGCUCAACUUGGGAACUGCAUCCGAAACUGCCUCGCUUGAGUUCGGGAGAGGAAAGUGGAAUUCCUGGUGUAGAGGUGAAAUUCGUUGAUAUCAGGAGGAACACCGGCGGCGAAAGCGGCUUUCUGGCCCGAUACUGACGCUCAUGUACGAAAGCGUGGGGAGCAAACAGGAUUAGAUACCCCGGUAGUCC
rnacentral:rRNA from 1 species